GUCAGAUUAAAUAAUAAAAUGGAGUCAGAUUUGAGUUUAACCUAAAAUGAAUAACUCUACGCGCUGAAAGACAGAACACGCAGGAAACCUUCAUCCAGCACCGGAUACCUUCCUUGGGCCGAGUGUCUGGACCUUACAAAGUGGUGACCCCGACGUGAUCUCCCUAAUUAUGCAAGUGACGUCUUUCCAGUGCUAAUUUCAGAUUGAUUCUCUCUGAAGACAUAAGGUUUGAGCUUCUUCCCUGUCUACAACUGCUGUGGUUGACCACUGCAAUUCUUUGGAGGACAGAUACCAGGAGGGUGUCUUGUCCCCUCUGCACCAAGCCAGGACAACAGAAUUGUUACAUAACCUGAAAAGUGGGAGAUGGAUGCGGAGACACUUGAAGGGGCCAUUCACACCUCACAGGAGAACAUCACCACACAAAUAUCUACAUGGCCUCCCGGAUUAGAACCGGAACUAAAUUUUUGCAACACAGAUUGCUAUAGAUUAGACUCCAUUCAUC